rnacentral:rRNA from 2 species
UGGGGAAUAUUGCACAAUGGGGGAAACCCUGAUGCAGCGACGCCGCGUGAAGGAAGAAGGCCUUCGGGUCGUAAACUUCUGUCCUAGGGGAAGAAGAACUGACGGUACCCUUGGAGGAAGCCCCGGCUAACUACGUGCCAGCAGCCGCGGUAAUACGUAGGGGGCAAGCGUUAUCCGGAAUUACUGGGCGUAAAGAGUGCGUAGGCGGCUUUUUAAGCGCGGGGUUUAAGCCAACGGCCCAACCGUUGUUCGCCCCGCGAACUGAAGGGCUUGAGUACAGGAGAGGAAGGCGGAAUUCCUAGUGUAGCGGUGAAAUGCGUAGAUAUUAGGAGGAACACCGGUGGCGAAGGCGGCCUUCUGGACUGAAACUGACGCUGAGGCACGAAAGCGUGGGUAGCAAACAGG